AUUCUUUAAUAGCAAGAAAAGAAAUAAAUAGUGCAAUAUGUAAUAGUUCUUAGAGAUAAAUGGGUUCAUACUUCCCGGGUACCCGUAGGUACUCGGUUAAUUACGCCAUCUUUAUUACAUUCUGGCUACCUCUGAUUAAGCCGGUCAUGAUUAAAAUAUCCCUCCUCCAAUUAAGUAAACUAUCAGAUUGUUGAUAGAG
rnacentral:lncRNA from 1 species